rnacentral:tRNA from 1 species
UGGCUCAGACAGUAGAGAAUCUGCCUGCAAUGCAGGAGACCCAGGUUUGAUCCCUGG